ACUUUUGCUCACUUAACAAAUGGAAACGUGGACAAGUAGUCCUACCAUACUGUCCUAUCAAUGAAUGAGCAUCGAGUGUAGCGGACCUUUGUGAAAGCAAUCACUUUUUAUGAAUUUUAUCAACGCGGUGGAACCUCUAUAGCAAAGGGGGGAGCGCACUGAGGAUUAUAGUCACCGCUAAAAGGAAAUAGCAAAAUGUGAUUAACAAAAUUAUAUCAGAAAAUAUAUUUUCAGACGACCUCCCUCUCUUUUUUUUAUUAUUGUGUGUUUUUCUAUGUCUUUUCGGAGAGAAGCAUGUCCUUCGAGACAAAUUAAUUUCAUCCUCACCUGGAAUUACAAUGGAAAAUGUAGGCAUGAUCGAUUAUUUUCCGGGAAUCACAAUUAAGAUCCAAUGUUGGUGAAUGGACUACUAGACAUCCGGUAAAGCUACCUUUUGAACACUUUUUAAUGAACAAAAUCUGAUUAAUGUUCUCCUGUUUGCAUAACUUCAAAAGCUUGAAAACGGAUUUCCACUGCCUCAUUCGAGUGGAUAGAUAAACACGACUCUCGCAAUUUAGGAUGGAAGUUAAUUAUUAAUUGAGUGCUGAUUUUCGUAUUUUUCUAACAAUUAUUUUUGACCAUAUGACACAUACAAUUUUGGUGUAGUUAUUUAAUAUUUUCAAGAGACCAGCGCAGCCGCGUGUGAACUCCAGUCUAUGGGCUUUUAUUGUGAUGUGGCAUAGUGUAGGGCCAUUUGUACUCAAUUUAUAUUGGAAUUAUUGUAUUGGCAACAAUUAAUGUGCUACAAUAUUAUUUUUCCCCUUGUUUAAUUUCAAAGAAACAUGGUGACGGGCCUGACGACCGCAUCUAAAAAUGGAUCAUCAUCUUAUUGCCCUUUGAAUACAACCAGCGACACGCAGUGUCAAUUUAGAAUAAGUAAAGACGUAGAAGAAGUUUGAAAAAAAAAAAAAGCUAAGAACUGAAAGAACCUCAAACCUGGAUUACGUCAUCAUCACUGUCUUGGCCAGGUGGAACAACUAAGGGGACGUUCUCCCCUGCUUUAGAACCAGAGGCUGUUUGCUAAUUACAACGGACUUUCUACAUCCCUUUUUUAUUUUCUUUAUUUU
rnacentral:lncRNA from 8 species